UUCCUCGUGUAAAAGUUAUAAAUAAACUGAACUAAACAGUGAAGGUGAACUUUCCUACAUGAAUUCACCGAGAAAAGCAAAUUAAACAAGGACAAUUAUGAUGUGAAGGACACAGUAUUCAUUUAUGCAAGUGACAAUACCUGCAUUAUUAUGUUCAGUGAAUUUCAUAUCCAUAAUUACUUUUUUAGUGUAUUUCUCUAAAUGUGUAAACUGUGUAGUGUACUAGUGUAGAACUAAUUUGAACAAAAUUAAACUAUACGUCUUGAAAUCUCGCUUUUCUCUCACGAAUAGAAAUAUUGCGAAAAGUCUUCUUAUGACUGCUUUCAACAUGUGACGUCACAUCACGGGGCGUCAAUCAUUGACAUAAGAUUAAGACGUUAUCUGGUCCGGCGGCAGAAUAGUGCUUUUACUCAUUUUACAUACCCAUUUACACUAAAUGGUUCUAUAUUUUUAACCUGCAUAUACUUCAAACACCUUUAUUUAUUUUUGUAAUACUUAAAAAAAAAAUUGUUCUAGAAUUUAAUUUGCAGAAGGAAAAAUUUAAUAUUGGGGAUUCAUUAAGCCGCACCGAUGGCAUCCCUACAAGUGAUUGUAGCGGCCUAGCGAAUAUUCACUACUGAUCAGUGUGGCUCCAUCUGUGGUAGACAGCGUUCAACCCCACGAAGAUUUGGGAAAUAGUUAGAGUCGGUCUAGGAUAUGAUAAUAUAAUUAUUAGUAAAUGGGGAAAUAAUUGGUGAUCUGUUGCCAUUGAUCUGUGUUAUGCUGUACAGUAGACGAGUAUAUCAAGUUAUCACCAUAUUCAUAGAGGAAUCGAGGAAUUCUUUAGGAGGCAGACCACAAUUAAAUUUCACCAUUUCGGUACCCAUUCUUCAAAACAAGUCUCGCUAUUCAGCGUUCGAAUAGUGUGAACUGCAAGGGAAGACAACUCUGCUUGGGUGAUUGCUCGGUACUAUCUCGGUUUAAAGAUGUUUUAAAUGAAGCGGAAAGUUAUUAUUUUUCUUAUAAUCCGUGUUAUUCAUUCACGGAAAGUGGAUGUACAGCAGUUUCUGGAUGUGAAACCGAUAUGACUAAUUAUUAUAGUAUAGGAACUCAAGAUAGCGCCGCGUUUACAGUAGAUGCCACCAAUGGACUAUAUAUUGAAUAUGAUGCCACAACAGAUGUUAAAAGAACAUUACGGGUUUAUUUAAGAUGUGACAAAGGUGAAGAGGGUAAACUGGAUGUUAAAGGAGAAUUUCCCGCUGGCAGCGCUAUUUAUGUGAUGAUUUUAACAAGUAUAUACAGCUGCACAAAGUCUCCUGGCCCGACUCCACCCCCGUGUAAACAUAACCACAGAGAGUGGCUUAUUAUCAUAAUACUUUCAUGUAUAAUGUUAUCAUUGUUGGUGUUGAUUAUCAUCUGUCUACAAAUAAGGAAUAACAGAAACACGUCAUUUACAACAGCAAUUCCUAAUCCAAAAGUCUCUGAAAAGAAAUCAUACGGGACUCUUAAUUAAGCAAAAUCAAGCACUGUUUUAAUCUAUAAGAUUUGAAAUUGGGUAUAACGCCCCACUGUUAAUCAAUAAGAGAAUUACUAAAUAGAAAUCAGGCCAGAUUUAUAUAGUGUGCAAAAAUGCCGGAUGAGGCUUUGAUUGUAAAUUCAUAACAUUUAUUUAAUUUUUCCAAGCAGAUGUGUUCCUUUUUUCAUUCAUAACUUUACGUCGAUCAGCCCUCUGCUAUUAAGAAAUAAAGCCCCGAACAUUACUGUGUUAUUGACAGAAUUGCAAUCGAGUAACGCGGAAUUCAGUUCUGUCACAGUUCUGUCAGUCCCGACAACAUAUAUAUAUAUAUUAGUAAGUGCAGGGGGACUGCACCACACAAAAUUUACUGAUGAUAUACUCUGAUCCUGGUGUUGGUCAAGAAACUUCCCCGGAAUUUUGCAGCGUGGUUUCACCCUGUCGGUAGUGCAGGACAAAGGGUCUGGCAAAGUAGCCCACAUUGUCUAG